CUGGCGGCGUGGAUUANGCAUGCAAGUCGAGCGGUAGUCCCGAAAGUAGAAUUUCUUUGAAGUUUUACAAUCGGGACGAGAGCGGCGAAAGGGUGAGUAACGCGUGAGUAAUUUACCCUUUAGUUCGGAAUAACCAGCCGAAAGGCAGGCUAAUACCGGAUAAGACCACGUUGGGGCAUCCUAAUGUGGUAAAAGACAGCUUAGUCUUUUUAAGACGCUGUCACUAGAGGAUAAGCUCGCGUCUUAUCAGCUUGUUGGUAGGGUAAAGGCCUACCAAGGCAAAGACGGGUAGGGGGCGUGAGAGCGUGGCCCCCCACACUGGUACUGACACACGGACCAGAUACCUACGGGUAGCAGCCAGCAAGGAAUAUUGCGCAAUGGGGGAAACCCUGACGCAGCAACGCCGCGUGGAGGAUGAAGGCCUUCGGGUUGUAAACUCCUUUUCUGGGGGAAGAGAAAGGACGGUACCCCAGGAAUAAGGCCCGGCUAACUACGUGCCAGCAGCCGCGGUAAAACGUAGGGGCCAAGCGUUAUCCGGAAUUACUGGGCGUAAAGGGCGUGUAGGCGGUCAUGUAAGUUGGACGUGAAAGCUCCUGGCUCAACUGGGAGAGGUCGUUCAAAACUGCAUGACUAGAGGAUGGUUAGAGGCGAGUGGAAUUCCCGGUGUAGUGGUGAAAUGCGUAGAUAUCGGGAGGAACACCCAGUGGCGAAGGCGGCUCGCUGGGCCACACCUGACGCUGAGGCGCGAAAGCCAGGGGAGAGAACGGGNAUUAGAAACCCCGGUAUUCCUGGCCGUAAA
rnacentral:rRNA from 1 species